CACGCCACGGCCUCAGUCUGCACGUGCGUCAGUGGUUGAGUGGCCAGAACGUGUCGGUAAGAUGAAAUGCAUUGACGUUUUGGAAUGACUGUAGUGCGCGCGCGGACACACACACACACACACACUGAUAAUCUCGAGAAGACAACAAAACCAGUGCUAGGGAAGAAGAAAACGACUCGAAGAAACGGACUAAACGAAGCUUCGGGAGGUGAGUGACGCAUGCUUCGGAUUCCAAGCUUCACGAGGGGAGCGCAUGAUGAGUCCACGGCUCCUCCCCGCACCACCCCACCACCCCCACCACCCCCACGAAGACCACCACCGCUGCGCACCCAACACUCCAAACUUGAAAUAUUAAGCAGCGGCAAGGCUUCGCGGCGUGGGUGCAGCGGCUCGGCCCACGUGUGUUGCCGCGCGUUGAGGCUCCCCAACUGCGGCGGCGGCGACGGUAGCGGCAGUGAGUGGCUCUAGUAGCGACGGGUGUCUCCUCGCG